rnacentral:tRNA from 1 species
GGGAAGGUAGCUCAGCCUGGGAGAGCACAUGACCGGCACAAGCUUGCCUGUUAGUGACUUGUUUUGCCAGUGUGUAGCUGAAGAUGGGGCAACAUUGUUUUGUUGUUUUAAUCUUCGUUGCUCUCAGCGGUGACCAUGGUGUCGCGGGUUCAAAUCCCGCUCUUCCCA